CUAUCACUUUGUUUUGCCUUAACUGUCUUGAAAAUUAGAUAUUUUCAAUUUGAAACUCUGCUGGCCGUAUAUAAAAAUUACAUCAUGUCGGAAGCCUGGCCCUGGAGAAUUUUAAUGCAGCGCCUUUUAAAUCUUUUACGCCAAAAACAGACCGCCAGACCAGGCACAGGAAGAGAAGGCAUUGACAUAACCAAAGCCACCUUCUUGGUGUUUGCAGUCUUCAUUAUGUGUGCCACUUCCUGGGGUCCACUGAUCAGCAGGAAGCCAUUGAGUGCCAGGUGCCACAACAACCAGGAUGGAGCGCCACCAAAGCCCCAGCCACCGGCCUUUAACUAAAGGAUCUUGAAGGAUUCUUAGCCAUGGCUUUCAAAAUCGUUCAGUAGAAUAAAUGUUUAGAUCAGUGAAAGAA